rnacentral:tRNA from 1 species
UGUUCAGUGGUGAAAUCGGUAGACACGACCGGAAUAGCUUGUUUGAAACCCUGGUUGGUACCCAGGUGAGUAAGGCGGAAACCGGUGCAACAGACCUAAGCGUACAGGUUCAAGUCCUGUCUGAAUAAUAU